rnacentral:lncRNA from 1 species
CUGGAGUCAAUCUUUGUAAGGAUUGAAGGUGGCGGUGUAAGACUGUGCGGCCUCCAGCUACUGCAGUCACUGUGCUACCCAGAGGGCGAUGCUUGGAGCUGCCAAGGAGCCACAGGGAGAGACGGUCCCCAGGGGCCCAAGCACGAAAAUGGGCUUGUUCUAUCUCCUGUGUCUGGAGAUGGAGGAUGAAGAAGCCCCAGCUAAUCCUUUGGCUUGCUCUGAGCAGAUAAAAUCUUCGGUACGCUGGCCUGCUCUCGCCCUCCCUCCCUUCCUUCCUUUCUAACCUUUAUUGAAUAUUUCCUGUGGUACUUCUGUUUGGAAUAUAAUAAAAACCGAAACAGAAAGAAUCUCAGCUCAGAUGGAGUUCAAUUUCGG